AUAGGGGCUCUGAUCUUGGUAUGACUCCAAACAACAAUGGAAAAGUGAUAAGAUUGACUCUCCCUCAACUUACAUCAGAAAGGAGGAAGGAAUUCUUAAAAAUAGUAGCUAAACUGGCUGAAGAAGGGAAGGUGGCAUUGAGGAACAUAAGAAGAGAUGCUUUAAAAGCUUGCCAAAAACUUGAGAAGGAGAAAAAGCUCUCUGAAGACAUUGCGAAGGACUUGUCAAGC